UAGUCUUUCGGUGGGUUACAGCAUCUGACUUUUAAUCAGGUGGUCGCAGGUUCGAUCCCUGCACGGCUCACGA
rnacentral:tRNA from 1 species